CACCGCCCGUCACACCAUGGGAGUUUGUUGCACCAGAAGCAGGUAGCCUAACCGCAAGGAGGGCGCUUGCCACGGUGUGGCCGAUGACUGGGGUG
rnacentral:rRNA from 1 species